GGAAUAUUGGACAAUGGGCGCAAGCCUGAUCCAGCCAUGCCGCGUGCAGGAUGACGGUCCUAUGGAUUGUAAGCUGCUUUUAUACGAGAAGAAACAUCCCGACGUGUCGGGACUUGACGGUAUCGUAAGAAUAAGGAUCGGCUAACUCCGUGCCAGCAGCCGCGGUAAUACGGAGGAUCCAAGCGUUAUCCGGAAUCAUUGGGUUUAAAGGGUCCGUAGGCGGUUUAAUAAGUCAGUGGUGAAAGCCCAUCGCUCAACGGUGGAACGGCCAUUGAUACUGUUAGACUUGAAUUAUUAGGAAGUAACUAGAAUAUGUAGUGUAGCGGUGAAAUGCUUAGAGAUUACAUGGAAUACCAAUUGCGAAGGCAGGUUACUACUAAUUGAUUGACGCUGAUGGACGAAAGCGUGGGUAGCGAACAGGAUUAGAUACCCGGG
rnacentral:rRNA from 1 species